CNAGCCAUGCCGCGUGUGUGAUGAAGGCCUUAGGGUCGUAAAGCACUUUCGCCNGAGAUGAUAAUGACAGUAUCUGGUAAAGAAACCCCGGCUAACUCCGUGCCAGCAGCCGCGGUAAUACGGAGGGGGUUAGCGUUGUUCGGAAUUACUGGGCGUAAAGCGUACGUAGGCGGAUCANAAAGUAGGGGGUGAAAUCCCAGGGCUCAACCCUGGAACUGCCUCCUAAACUCCUGGUCUUGAGUUCGAGAGAGGUGAGUGGAAUUCCAAGUGUAGAGGUGAAAUUCGUANAUAUUUGGAGGAACACCAGUGGCGAAGGCGGCUCACUGGCUCGAUACUGACGCUGAGGUACGAAAGUGUGGGGAGCAAACAGGAUUAGAUACCCUGGUAGUCCACUGCUG
rnacentral:rRNA from 1 species